rnacentral:misc_RNA from 1 species
GAUGAAGAACGUAGCGAAAUGCGAUAAGUAAUGUGAAUUGCAGAAUUCAGUGAAUCAUCGAAUCUUUGAACGCACCUUGCGCUCCUUGGUAUUCCGAGGAGCAUGCCUGUUUGAGUGUCAUGAAAUUCUCAACCUUUUCAGCUUUCUUUGUUGAUCAGGCUUGGAUGUGGGAGUAUGCGGGCUUCUCAGAAGUCGGCUCUCCUGAAAUGCAUUAGCGGGACCUUUGUUGCCUGGCUUUGGUGUGAUAAUUAUCUACGCCAUUGUAGUCAAGCAGCUUAAAAUGAGGUUUCAGCUUCUAACCGUCUCCCCUGAGACAACUUUUUGUCAAUUUGACCUCAAAUCAGGUAGGACUACCCGCUGAACUUAAGCAUAUCAAUAAGCGGAGGA